UUUUAAAAUUUUCAUCAAUUUGUACUGUUAAAAAUUAGUGUGGUUAACAGAAUAACUAGACAGUGACACAUGGUGUGUCAUAUGUACUUCAUGGGCCAGUUUUAGUAGCGGAAAUAGAUCAAUUUUUUAACA
rfam:Gossypium hirsutum cultivar TM-1 chromosome 22, whole genome shotgun sequence